rnacentral:rRNA from 1 species
AACGCGUGAGAAUCUGCCUACAGGUUCGGGACAACAGUUGGAAACGACUGCUAAUACCGGAUGUGCCGAGAGGUAAAAGCUUAAUGUGCCUGUAGAUGAGCUCGCGUCCGAUUAGCUAGUUGGUGAGGUAAGAGCUUACCAAGGCGAUGAUCGGUAGCUGGUCUGAGAGGAUGAUCAGCCACACUGGGACUGAGACACGGCCCAGACUCCUACGGGAGGCAGCAGUGGGGAAUUUUCCGCAAUGGGCGCAAGCCUGACGGAGCAAUACCGCGUGAGGGAGGAAGGCUUUUGGGUCGUAAACCUCUUUUAUUGGGGAAGAAGCACUGACGGUACCCAAUGAAUCAGCAUCGGCUAACUCCGUGCCAGCAGCCGCGGUAAUACGGAGGAUGCAAGCGUUAUCCGGAAUUAUUGGGCGUAAAGCGUCCGCAGGUGGUUAAUCAAGUCUGCUGUUAAAGCGUGCGGCUUAACCGCAUAUCGGCAGUGGAAACUGGUUGACUAGAGUUCGGUAGGGGUCACGGGAAUUCCCAGUGUAGCGGUGAAAUGCGUAGAUAUUGGGAAGAACACCAGCGGCGAAAGCGCGUGACUAGGCCUGAACUGACACUGAGGGACGAAAGCUAGGGGAGCGAAAGGGAUUAGAUACCCCUGUUCUCACGCGUUAUC